rnacentral:lncRNA from 1 species
UGCAUUAUUAAUUGCUAGGGGAGGCUAGGGAUAGCAAGCCAGUAAUUAGUAAUAGGCUUUUUUCGCCGAGGGAUCGGGUUAAGGGUAGGCCAAGAAAGUUGCAUAACAAUUAGUUAAUCAAGCAAAUAAAUCAAGAGGAGUAAAUAAGAGAGAGCGGAUAACAUGAAAUUGUAAACCCCCAACAACUCCAUUCAUCCAUUGUUUUCUUCUCGUGAAUUGAAUCAAUCUCUUUUGCAUGUUUAUGUUUUGUUCUCAUUACUUGAACGAUUACUUGAACGAUUUGGUAUGCUUGCCAAUCCGUUAACA